AAGUCGAGCGGGGAAAGGUAGCUUGCUACCUAACCUAGCGGCGGACGGGUGAGUAAUGCUUAGGAAUCUGCCUAUUAGUGGGGGACAACGUUUCGAAAGGAACGCUAAUACCGCAUACGCCCUACGGGGGAAAGCAGGGGCUCUUCGGACCUUGCGCUAAUAGAUGAGCCUAAGUCAGAUUAGCUAGUUGGUGGGGUAAAGGCCUACCAAGGCGACGAUCUGUAGCGGGUCUGAGAGGAUGAUCCGCCACACUGGGACUGAGACACGGCCCAGACUCCUACGGGAGGCAGCAGUGGGGAAUAUUGGACAAUGGGGGGAACCCUGAUCCAGCCAUGCCGCGUGUGUGAAGAAGGCCUUUUGGUUGUAAAGCACUUUAAGCGAGGAGGAGGCUCCUAUAGAUAAUACCUAUAGUGAGUGGACGUUACUCGCAGAAUAAGCACCGGCUAACUCUGUGCCAGCAGCCGCGGUAAUACAGAGGGUGCGAGCGUUAAUCGGAUUUACUGGGCGUAAAGCGUACGUAGGCGGCUUUUUAAGUCGGAUGUGAAAUCCCUGAGCUUAACUUAGGAAUUGCAUUCGAUACUGGGAAGCUAGAGUAUGGGAGAGGAUGGUAGAAUUCCAGGUGUAGCGGUGAAAUGCGUAGAGAUCUGGAGGAAUACCGAUGGCGAAGGCAGCCAUCUGGCCUAAUACUGACGCUGAGGUACGAAAGCAUGGGGAGCAAACAGGAUUAGAUACCCUGGUAGUCCAUGCCGUAAACGAUGUCUACUAGCCGUUGGGGCCUUUGAGGCUUUAGUGGCGCAGCUAACGCGAUAAGUAGACCGCCUGGGGAGUACGGUCGCAAGACUAAAACUCAAAUGAAUUGACGGGGGCCCGCACAAGCGGUGGAGCAUGUGGUUUAAUUCGAUGCAACGCGAAGAACCUUACCUGGUCUUGACAUAGUAAGAACUUUCCAGAGAUGGAUUGGUGCCUUCGGGAACUUACAUACAGGUGCUGCAAUGGCUGUUUGCAGCUCGUGUCGUGAGAUGUUGGGUUAAGUCCCGCAACGAGCGCAACCCUUUUCCUUAUUUGCCAGCGGGUUAAGCCGGGAACUUUAAGGAUACUGCCAGUGACAAACUGGAGGAAGGCGGGGACGACGUCAAGUCAUCAUGGCCCUUACGACCAGGGCUACACACGUGCUACAAUGGUCGGUACAAAGGGUUGCUACCUAGCGAUAGGAUGCUAAUCUCAAAAAGCCGAUCGUAGUCCGGAUUGGAGUCUGCAACUCGACUCCAUGAAGUCGGAAUCGCUAGUAAUCGCGGAUCAGAAUGCCGCGGUGAAUACGUUCCCGGGCCUUGUACACACCGCCCGUCACACCAUGGGAAUUUGUUGCACCAGAAGUAGGUAGUCUAACCGCAAGGAGGACG
rnacentral:rRNA from 1 species